CGAACAAGAAGGAACUCUUGUGGUCAGAAAGGCCACAGAGUUCGUCUCAGUGCUGUGACUUUGAGCAACAACUCUGAGAUUUAAGGACACCAGUGAAAAAUGGAAGAAAUGGCACCUACUGUGGGCAUCCUGAAGUUGCAGCAAGAGGCAUCCAUCUCCUUACAUCCUGCCCAGUGUGGAGAAAGAGGACCACUGCCACAGGAACCACCCCCUCUGUGUGAUUAAGUGGUAACAAUACAAACGGGCGUAGAAGGAUGAGAGAACAGUAGCUUCCGGUUGUUUCUGAGGCAAUGCCUGGUGUGUACUUGACAAGACAAGCUCACCAAGCACGGAUCAGCGCCAGCCACCAUGCUGUCCUUUCCUGACAGCCCACAAGAGUCCUGAACCUGGGAUCCACAACAUGGUAUGCUUCACAAACCAGGCUCCUGUCUGCUGGACACGAGAACCUGAAAGUCUUACCCUAUGGCAGACA
rnacentral:lncRNA from 1 species